GAAGAACUACGACCCUCAGAAGGACAAACGCUUCUCGGGCACCGUCAGGCUUAAGUCCACCCCUCGCCCCAAGUUCUCGGUGUGUGUCCUGGGGGACCAGCAGCACUGUGACGAAGCCAAGGCCGUGGAUAUCCCCCACAUGGACAUCGAGGCGCUCAAGAAGCUUAACAAGAACAAGAAGUUGGUCAAAAAGCUGGCCAAGAAGUACGAUGCCUUUUUGGCCUCCGAGUCUCUGAUCAAGCAAAUCCCACAUAUCCUGGGUCCAGGCCUAAACCAGGCAGGCAAGUUCCCCUCCCUGCUGACACACAAUGAAAACAUGGUGGCCAAAGUGGAUGAGGUGAAAUCCACAAUCAAGUUCCAGGUGAAGAAGGUGCUGUGUCUGGCCGUUGCCGUUGGCCACGUGAAGAUGACUGAUGAUGAGCUAGUCUACAACAUCCACCUGGUUGUCAACUUCUUGGUGUCCUUACUCAAGAAAAACUGGCAGAUCGACCGGGCUCUGUACAUCAAGAGCACCAUGGACAAGCCCCAGCGUCUAUAUUAGGACGCUCCAAUAAACCUCGGUGCUGCCAUCUCAAAAACAAAACAAAACAAAACAAA
rnacentral:lncRNA from 1 species